ACAGGUGAAUUCAAAUUUCUAGAGGCAAAGAACAUUGACAAGAUUUUCCAUUGCCAUUCUGGGGAUUUCAUAUGCUCAGGAGUAAACAAGUGACUGGUACUUGCUUGAACAAUAUAUAGCUUUAUGAAGAGAAGUCCCAGCUAAAAGCUAUUUGAAAACGGUGUAGCCCACAGGGAAGCCUGAGGUAAGCUGAUUCUCCUUUCAU
rnacentral:lncRNA from 1 species